rnacentral:rRNA from 1 species
GGGUGCGAGCGUUGUCCGGAAUCACUGGGCGUAAAGGGCGCGUAGGCGGCUCAGUAAGGUUGCGGUGAAAGCCCGGGGCUCAACCCCGGGUCGGCCGUGGCAACUGCUGGGCUAGAGCACUGUAGAGGCAGGUGGAAUUCCGGGUGUAGCGGUGGAAUGCGUAGAGAUCCGGAAGAACACCAGUGGCGAAGGCGGCUCACUGGCCCGAUACUGACGCUGAGGCACGAAAGCGUGGGGAGCAAACAGG